GAUGAAGAACGUAGCGAAAUGCGAUACUUGGUGUGAAUUGCAGAAUCCCGUGAACCAUCGAGUCUUUGAACGCAAGUUGCGCCUCAAGCCAUUAGGUUGAGGGCACGUCUGCCUGGGCGUCACAUAUCGUUGCCUGAUGCCAGUUUCCUCGUGAUGGGUGACUGUGCAGGGCGAAUGAUGGCUUCCCGUGAGCAUUGUUGCCUCAUGGUUGGUUGAAAAUUGAGUCCUUGGUAGGGAGCGCCGUGAUAGAUGGUGGUUGAGUGACGAACGAGACCCAAUCAUGUGAGACCCCUACCGAAUUUGGCCUUCAUGACCCACAUGCGUCUUUGGAACGCUCAUGACGAGACCUCAGGUCAGGCGGGGCUACCCGCUGAGGUUAAGCAUAUCAAUAAGCGGAGGA
rnacentral:misc_RNA from 1 species